GAUACCAAAGAAAAUAAUACAGACAAGAAGAAACAGAGAUAAAGAAGGAAAAACACACAACCAGAGUUCAAAGGAUCAUCGUGAAAGAAGGAGAAUGGAACAGAAGAAAAAAAUGGAACAAGGCGUCUUUCCAUUGCUGUCAUUCUUUUCCUAAGAGCAUGAAGCACACCUUGUCUCUUCUCAACUUCACAGAGCGUAACUGUCUAAAUCCAAGGACAGGAUUUUAAAUACCAGCACAGAUCAACUUAAAACAGAUUCUCUCUCAAGCUUUACCUCAGGAUGAUGUCCAAUUUCAAUGUAGGUGCAAAUUGGAUGAAAAGCCCCUGUUCCACAGGCGUACAAUCUUACAGGAAUGCUGUGAGGUGGUUGUCAUGCCAAACACCCUUGAUGAAAUCAGAACAGAACCCAGGACAAUGCCUGUUAUGUCAUUACUCAAUCUAUAUUUAUUUAAGAAACCAGAGUGUAUGAAAGGAAGGAAGGAAGAAAGAAGAAAAGAAAGAAAAGAAUAGAAUGGAAAAAAAAGGAGUGGUAAUUUAAUCGUGACUCAGAAGUAAAAAAAAAAAUUCAUAUCAUCCAAAAGGAAUUCAAGAGGAAUUAACAUAUGAAAACCAAUUUGUACAAAGAAGGUGACUUACUGAAUAUGAGUACAUAUGCUGCAAAAUUGCUUUUGUCAAUUACCUUUUACAUAUAUAUAAAUCCUCAAAGGGAACAUAUUUUUGCUUAUUUAGGCAUGUUGUUACUUUUACCUACUUUCUUUAAAUAAA